rnacentral:rRNA from 1 species
GGGUUGUGAGGUUAAGCGACUAAGCGUACACGGUGGAUGCCCUGGCAGUCAGAGGCGAUGAAGGGCGUGCUAAUCUGCGAUAAGCGCCGGUAAGGUGAUAUGAACCGUUAUAACCGGCGAUACCCGAAUGGGGAAACCCAGUGUGACUCGUCACACUAUCAUUAACUGAAUCCAUAGGUUAAUGAGGCGAACCGGGGGAACUGAAACAUCUAAGUACCCCGAGGAAAAGAAAUCAACCGAGAUUCCCCCAGUAGCGGCGAGCGAACGGGGAGGAGCCCAGAGCCUGAAUCAGCAUGUGUGUUAGUGGAAGCGUCUGGAAAGGCGCGCGAUACAGGGUGACAGCCCCGUACACAAAAGCGCAUGUGCUGUGAGCUCGAUGAGUAGGGCGGGACACGUGGUAUCCUGUCUGAAUAUGGGGGGACCAUCCUCCAAGGCUAAAUACUCCUGACUGACCGAUAGUGAACCAGUACCGUGAGGGAAAGGCGAAAAGAACCCCGGCGAGGGGAGUGAAAAAGAACCUGAAACCGUGUACGUACAAGCAGUGGGAGCACAGGUUUACCUGUGUGACUGCGUACCUUUUGUAUAAUGGGUCAGCGACUUAUAUUCUGUAGCAAGGUUAACCGAAUAGGGGAGCCGGAGGGAAACCGAGUCUUAACUGGGCGUUAAGUUGCAGGGUAUAGACCCGAAACCCGGUGAUCUAGCCAUGGGCAGGUUGAAGGUUGGGUAACACUAACUGGAGGACCGAACCGACUAAUGUUGAAAAAUUAGCGGAUGACCUGUGGCUGGGGGUGAAAGGCCAAUCAAACCGGGAGAUAGCUGGUUCUCCCCGAAAGCUAUUUAGGUAGCGCCUCGUGAAUUCAUCUCCGGGGGUAGAGCACUGUUUCGGCUAGGGGGCCAUCCCGGCUUACCAACCCGAUGCAAACUGCGAAUACCGGAGAAUGUUAUCACGGGAGACACACGGCGGGUGCUAACGUCCGUCGUGAAGAGGGAAACAACCCAGACCGCCAGCUAAGGUCCCAAAGUCAUGGUUAAGUGGGAAACGAUGUGGGAAGGCCCAGACAGCCAGGAUGUUGGCUUAGAAGCAGCCAUCAUUUAAAGAAAGCGUAAUAGCUCACUGGUCGAGUCGGCCUGCGCGGAAGAUGUAACGGGGCUAAACCAUGCACCGAAGCUGCGGCAGCGACACUGUGUGUUGUUGGGUAGGGGAGCGUUCUGUAAGCCUGUGAAGGUGGCCUGUGAGGGUUGCUGGAGGUAUCAGAAGUGCGAAUGCUGACAUAAGUAACGAUAAAGCGGGUGAAAAGCCCGCUCGCCGGAAGACCAAGGGUUCCUGUCCAACGUUAAUCGGGGCAGG